UACGUAGGGUGCAAGCGUUAAUCGGAAUUACUGGGCGUAAAGCGUGCGCAGGCGGUUCUAUUAGACAGAUGUUAAAUCCCCGGGCUCAACCUGGGAACUGCAUUUGUGACUGUAGAGCUGGAGUGCGGCAGAGGGGGAUGGAAUUCCGCGUGUAGCAGUGAAAUGCGUAGAUAUGCGGAGGAACACCGAUGGCGAAGGCAAUCCCCUGGGCCCGCACUGACGCUCAUGCACGAAAGCGUGGGGAGCAAACAGG
rnacentral:rRNA from 1 species